CAACAGGGAUUGCCCCAGUAACGGCGAGUGAAGCGGCAACAGCUCAAAUUUGAAAUCUGGCUCUCGGGCCCGAGUUGUAAUUUGUAGAGGAUGCUUUUGGUGAGGUGCCUUCCGAGUUCCCUGGAACGGGACGCCAUAGAGGGUGAGAGCCCCGUCUGGUUGGACGCCGAACCUCUGUAAAGCUCCUUCGACGAGUCGAGUAGUUUGGGAAUGCUGCUCUAAAUGGGAGGUAUAUGUCUUCUAAAGCUAAAUACCGGCCAGAGACCGAUAGCGCACAAGUAGAGUGAUCGAAAGAUGAAAAGAACUUUGAAAAGAGAGUUAAACAGUACGUGAAAUUGUUGAAAGGGAAGCGCUUGUGACCAGACUUGGGCUUGGUUGAUCAUCCGGGGUUCUCCCCGGUGCACUCUUCCGGCUCAGGCCAGCAUCAGUUCGCCCUGGGGGAUAAAGGCAUCGGGAACGUGGCUCUCUCCGGGGAGUGUUAU
rnacentral:rRNA from 3 species